UUUAACUGAGCGUUCAGUUACUUGACGUAGACCCGAAACCGGGCGACCUACCCAUGAGCAGGAUGAAGCGAAAGUAAAAUUUCGUGGAGGUCCGAACCCACGAGCGUUGAAAAGCUCGGGGAUGACUUGUGGGUAGCGGUGAAAUUCCAAUCGAGCCCGGAGAUAGCUGGUUCUCCCCGAAAUAGCUUUAGGGCUAGCCUCAAGGUGAGAGAUACGGAGGUAGAGCACUGAAUGUCCUAGGGGGUAUUGCACCUACCGAAGACUAUCAAACUCCGAAUGCCGUCAUCUUAUACUUGGGAGUCAGACUGUGGGUGAUAAGAUUCAUAGUCGAAAGGGCAACAGCCCAGAUCGUCAGCUAAGGUCCCUAAAUGUAAGUUAAGUGGUAAAGGAUGUGGGAUUGCACAGACAACCAGGAUGUUGGCUUAGAAGCAGCCACUCAUUCAAAGAGUGCGUAAUAGCUCACUGGUCGAGUGAUCCUGCGCCGAAGAUUUCCGGGGCUAAAACUUACUACCGAAGCUACGGCAUCAUUAUGAUGGGUAGGGGAGCUUCCCAUACGGGUUGAAGCAUGACCGUAAGGACAUGUGGACAGUAUGGGAGUGAGAAUGUUGGCAUGAGUAGCGAGAUGUGGGUGAGAAUCCCACAGGCCGUAAACCCAAGGUUUCCAGGGGAAGGUUCGUCCGCCCUGGGUUAGUCGGGACCUAAGCUGAGGCCGAAAGGCGUAGGUGAUGGACAACAGGUUGAUAUUCCUGUACUACCGAUAACCGUUUGAGAGAAGGGAUGACACAGUAGGAUAAGCUAAGCACACUGUUGGUUAUGUGUGCCCAAGCAUUGAGGCAGUCAAAGUAGGCAAAUCCGCUUUGAUAAUGCUGGGAUGUGAUGGGGAGCGAAAUUUAGUAGCGAAGUAGCUGAUUUCACACUGUCAAGAAAAGUCUCUAUCGAGGUUAAAGGUACCCGUACCGCAAACCGACACAGGUGGGUGAGGAGAGUAUCCUAAGGCCAGCGAGAGAACUGUUGUUAAGGAACUCGGCAAAAUGACCCCGUAACUUAGGGAUAAGGGGUGCCACCAUCAGGUGGCCGCAGAGAAUAGGCCCAAGCGACUGUUUACCAAAAACAUAGGUUUCUGCUAAGUCGCAAGACGAUGUAUAGGAGCUGACGCCUGCCCGGUGCUGGAAGGUUAAGGGGAUCUGUUAGAGCAAUCGAAGCAGUGAACUUAAGCCCCAGUAAACGGCGGCCGUAACUAUAACGGUCCUAAGGUAGCGAAAUUCCUUGUCGGGUAAGUUCCGACCCGCACGAAAGGCGUAACGAUUUGGGCACUGUCUCAACAACAGACUCGGUGAAAUUGUAAUUCCGGUGAAGAUGCCGGAUACCUGCGACAGGACGGAAAGACCCCAUGGAGCUUUACUGUAGCUUGACAUUGGGUCUUGGUACUACAUGUACAGGAUAGGUGGGAGGCUUUGAAACCAGGACGCCAGUUUUGGCGGAGCCAUCCUUGGGAUACCACCCUUGUAGUACUGGGACUCUAACCAUAGGCCAUGAAUCUGGUCUUGGGACACUGUCAGGUGGGCAGUUUGACUGGGGCGGUCGCCUCCCAAAAGGUAACGGAGGCGCUCAAAGGUUCUCUCAGUACGGUCGGAAAUCGUACGUAGAGUGUAAAGGCAAAAGAGAGCUUGAUUGCAAGACAUACAGGUCGAGCAAGGAUGAAAAUCGGACUUAGUGAUCCGGUGGUUCUGCGUGGAAGGGCCAUCGCUCAACGGAUAAAAGCUACCCUGGGGAUAACAGGCUUAUCUCCCCCAAGAGUCCACAUCGACGGGGAGGUUUGGCACCUCGAUGUCGGCUCAUCACAUCCUGGGGCUGUAGUAGGUCCCAAGGGUUGGGCUGUUCGCCCAUUAAAGUGGUACGCGAGCUGGGUUCAGAACGUCGUGAGACAGUUCGGUCCCUAUCCGUCGCAGGCGUAGGAAAUUUGAGAAGACCUGUCCUUAGUACGAGAGGACCGGGAUGGACG
rnacentral:rRNA from 1 species